AGUGGUUGUAGACGCGAAACCUUGCGAUCUACCCUUGAGCAGGUUGAAGGUUGGGUAAAACCAACUGGAGGACCGAACGAAUAAGCGUUGAAAAGCUUCUCGAUGACUUGAGGGUAGGGGUGAAAGGCUAAUCAAGCUGGGAAAUAGCUCGUACUCCCCGAAAUGCCUUUUGGGGCAGCGUUGUAAUAAAGAGUCUACUGGAGGUAGAGCUACUGAUUGGAUGCGGGGGCUUCACCGCCUACCAAAUCCUGACAAACUCCGAAUGCCAGUAGUAUGAUUUACAGCAGUGAGUGACUGGGUGCUAAUGUCCAGUCGCAAAAGAGGAACAACUCAGACCAGCAACUAAGGUCCCGAAGAAUAUGCUAAGUUGAUCUAACGAUGUUUUGUUGCAGAGACAGCUAGGAUGUUAGCUUGGAAGCAGCUAUUCAUUCAAAGAGUGCGUAACAGCUCACUAGUCGAGCGACAGAGCGUGGAUAAUAAACGGGCAUCAAGCAUAUCACCGAAGUUCUGGGCGCGAGAGCGCGGUAGGGGAGCAUUCCAUUCAGCGUCGAAGCAGUUUCGUGAGGAAUUGUGGAGCGUAUGGAAAAGCAAAUGUAGGCAUGAGUAACGAUAAUGCGGGAGAGUAACCCGCACACCGCAAGACCAAGGUUUCCUGAUCAACGCUAAUCGGAUCAGGGUUAGUCGGGUCCUAAGGGUAAGCCGAACGGCGAUCUCGAUGGAUAAUCGGUUAAUAUUCCGAUACUAACAUAUACCUCGAUGGAGAGACGAAGGAACGUAAGUGCCGCCACCUGACGGAAUAGGUGGUUAAAGGGCGUAGAUAUAGGGGCAGAUUAAGAGUUAGUCCUUGCUGAAACCUGACAGUACAGAGAGCCUACGGGCAAUUUGAUAGAGCACCCAAGUCGACUUCCGAGAAAAUCUUCUAAGUUAUAGUAUAUGUUACCCGUACCGUAAACCGACACAGGUGGUCGAGGAGAGUAUCCUAAGGUGCUCGAGUGAAUCACGGUUAAGGAACUAGGCAAAUUAACCCCGUAACUUCGGGAAAAGGGGUCCCUAUGAAAGUAGGGCGCAGCGAAGAGGUCCAGGCGACUGUUUAUCAAAAACACAGGGCUCUGCAAAUUCGAAAGAAGACGUAUAGGGCCUGACACCUGCCCGGUGCUGGAAGGUUAAGAGGGGAUGUCAUCGCAAGAGAAGCAUUGAAUCGAAGCCCCAGUAAACGGCGGCCGUAACUAUAACGGUCCUAAGGUAGCGAAAUUCCUUGUCGGGUAAGUUCCGACCUGCACGAAUGGUGUAACGAUCUGGACACUGUCUCAACCGUGAGCUCGGUGAAAUUGUAGUCCCGGUGAUGAUGCCGGGUACCCGCAACGGGACGAAAAGACCCCGUGAACCUUUACUAUAGCUUAACGCUGAAUUUGGGUACACAAUGUGUAGGAUAGGCCGGAGGCUUUGAAGCGGGCACGCCAGUGUUCGUGGAGCCGACGUUGAAAUACGGCCCUUUGUGUAUUUGAGUUCUAACCCUGCGAAGGGGACACCGUUUGGUGGGUAGUUUGACUGGGGUGGUCGCCUCCAAAAGCGUAACGGAGGCUUCCCAAGGUACCCUCAGCACGAAUGGUAACCGUGCGCGGAGUGCAAUAGCAUAAGGGUGCUUGACUGUGAGACAUACAAGUCGACCAGGUACGAAAGUAGGGUAUAGUGAUCCGGUGGUUCUGCGUGGACUGGCCAUCGCUCAAAGGAUAAAAGGUACUCCGGGGAUAACAGGCUGAUCGCCGCCAAGAGCUCAUAUCGACGCGGCGGUUUGGCACCUCGAUGUCGGCUCGUCACAUCCUGGGGCUGGAGAAGGUCCCAAGGGUUCGGCUGUUCGCCGAUUAAAGUGGCACGCGAGCUGGGUUCAGAACGUCGUGAGACAGUUCGGUCUCUAUCUGUUGCGGGCGUAGGAAGAUUGAGGGGUCCUGACUUUAGUACGAGAGGACCGAGUUGGACGAACCUCCGGUGUAUCGGUUAUGCUGCCAAGUGUAC
rnacentral:rRNA from 1 species